rnacentral:sRNA from 1 species
GCUGCGAAGAUGACUUUUUGGACGUAAUACCGCUGCCUCGGUUGCAGUUGCGGUGCUUUUGGCUUGCGUCAGAUCAGAGGUUCUACCAGGCGAGAGGGGUUUUCAAGUUUGGGGAGGAAGCAUAUAUUUAUCAAUACAAAUUGUAAAAAUAUCAAACACCGCCCGAUUUCGCUCUGGCACUUGGUUGGUGAGUUUCAUGGCAUUCGCUCAAGGAAUUAUUUCUGUAAAAAUCAACUAAUAAACGACCAUGCCUGAGAAAACUCGGGCUGCGCUGGGAGGGUGUCAGCGGUUUGAGUGUCGGGUGAUCGGUUACCCCCGCCCGACCAUUCAGUGGUUCAAGGACGGACGGAAUAUAACCAAAGACGACCGUUAUGAGUUUGAUUAUUCCAUCGAUGGUAUUAUAACCAUGGUGAUUUGUAACGUGACAGAGAAGGAUCAGGGAGUGUACUCGUGCAGGGCCGAGAACUCGGAGGGAUGGGCCGCUACGGCCGCCUUCCUCAACGUCAGAGUUGUAGACGAAAGGGUCGAACACGAACUCAUGUCAGUUCAUCAGAUGAAGUUCGAGAUCGGGGGACUUUAUGACAAAGAUGACGACGACCGAGUCCCAAUUGACGCCCAGAUCGAUUCCUUCAUCGAUCAAAUUACAGGCAAAGAUGGCCGUUUUUCUAUUUCCUCGGCCAUCGAAGGAAUGGAAAAUCAGAAAAAUGAAAAAGGAAGAGAUGGCCUAAACGAUGAGAUCAGUCAUGGCAGGAACAUCAUUUUAGCCAAAGUAGAUGCUCAGAAUAAUGAUAGUGGGAUUGGGCUGGACCUGGACAAAUCUCGAAUGUCGUCUACAGAGGAGGUUUCUGAUGAAGCAGACGGACAGGAGCAUAUGAUGGCUGAUAGUGGACGGAAGGAGAUCGAGGAUGGUGAAUUUGUGGAUAAGGCAAAGGUUUACGGAGAGAAAGAACCACCGGCAACUGCACAGCCCAAGCGUCGAAUGUCAGAUCUCGAUGUUCAUUUGAAAAUGAUGAACGAUAAAUCCUCUCGAUUUUUUCAACCGAACCCAGAUGAAUAUCCAGAAUUUGAUGGUCCGGCAAAUGUUGACACGCAAAAUGCAGAGAAAGACAGCGUUCGUGUUCAUGGAGAUGCAGACUUAGACAACACUGAAGAAAACAAAGACGAUGAGCUGUCAUUGACUCAUGAUUCUCAAAUUGAAAGCAACAAAAAUGAUAAAAACGGAGACAAACCAAUGGUCGAAGUUGACAUAAAUAACUCGAGUGAUCUAGGUAUGUCAAUUUCAGCAACAGAUAAUGAAAAAGAACCCGGAAAUAAGCAAGAUACCAAGGACGAUACACCAAUGACAAAACAAGAUACAGCAGAGAAUCGGAAGUCUGACAAAGCUGGAGCCAAAGAGGGAAACUCAGAAGAUGUGGACCUACUUGACGACAUGCUGGAAUUUCUGAAGAACAACAGGAAAGGGUCGAGGCGAUCCAUGACCACUGACAGUGGGUUAGGUGAUGAUGAUUACAGAGAUAGUUCCCCUGAAUCUGAUUCUGAAAAUCACGAACAUCGUCGAAAAAGGUCGCACGACAACACGGACCACCAUUCAAAGGGGAAACCACCAGUUUUCAACAAACCAUUGAACAAAAUGAGAAUACCGAAGAUACUUAUUGAAGAGAGUGACGAGGUGGAAGAACAAGAAGUGUUGAAUCCUCAGGAAGUAACCGAAUCUAAGACUGAGGCAGAGCCAGUGGUGGUUAUUCCAGAGGUUCAAGAUUUACCGAAAUCCCAUGCCAAUGAAGUCGAUGAAAUGGAAAAUCAAAAGGAAAACAUUGAACCGAUCCAAAGCUCUCAAGUUGAAAACGCCAUUAACGUUGAAGUUGAGGUUGAGCAAGGAAACAAUAAUAUUGAAAGUAUGAUAUCUGCAAAUGUUGUAACAACCGAAGAGGUUCCAUGCUCCAAGACUGAUUUAGUUGAGGAAACGGAAGCCGAAGAAAAUGAAAAGAGAGAAAUUGAGAAACAGGAUCAUCAUGUACCUGUAAUUUUAGCUGAUCAAGAAUCCGAUAUAGAGACAACCAGUGAUAUCGGGAACGUCUCUGAGCUGUAUGAGACUGCAAAUGAUACGGAAUACGAAAAUAAAUUGUCUGCGCAAGUGGAGUCUGAUCUUGGAGCAAGUAUGGAAAGCAUUACAAACAAGGAUGAUGAAGAAAGACUACAGAUCCUGGGUCGGCGGUAUGAACUCAACACCAGUAGUCGAGAAAGCAGUAUGCCUGUCAGUGACUAUGAUUUCCAAUGUCGCAAGGAUUCAGUACGGAGCGACAGACGAUCAACCCUUCGAAAGCAAUACAUGUUGGUUGAUUCUGAUGAAGAUGAUGACACCCAUAGCCUUCGCCCUGUGCACGAUGAUGAUUAUUUUGCUAGCACAGAGUCUUUGGGAAUUGGCGUUUCCAGAGAAAGUUUGGACAAAACAUUUUCACAUCUGGAUCUUUUGUGCGGCGAAGUUAUUCCAGAAAAGGACGAAAAUAUUCUUUCAAGAAGUGGGUCUCGAGAUGAUGGUUGCGAUCCAAGUGAAAUUGGCAAUGAAGGAUUAGUCAACCUUGAACAGAGUCAGCCAAAUCCUGGAAUUUUCACAGAAUGUUCAGACACGGCUAGUUCUGAAAGUCUUUCGUCCGAGGCCGAAGAAAUGGAUAGUAUUACAAUGCAAGCAAAAGAAAUUACUCAAAAGAUGGAUAACCUCAGUCUUGCCUGGACAGAAGAAGAGAGCAUUGAUAACCAGAAAAUGGAGUACGAAAUUGAAAAACUAAAGGACACAAAACCGGAAAUUCCAAACCAGAUUAUCCAUUCAGAAGCUAUUGGUAGGAUUCAGGCCAAACAGACAGAAGAAAGCUACGUAGAUGAAUGUAAAAGACCUCUUGAGUCGACCAAAGACGGAUUCUCCUCUCCUUAUUCUGAUAGAGCAAACAUUGUAGAAAUCGAUGAAGAGGAACUUUUGCAGAAGGUGCAACGUUCCAACAAAAAAGAGUCCUUAACUAAAGAAAAUAUGUUGAAAGAAGAGGAAACUCAUCUUAACCCGGUUGACGAUUUAUCUAAAAAUCAAUUAAGAACGUCAGAAGAUAAUGAUAAAUACUCACCAUUCGUUCAGGCGAAAUUGAUGCAGCAGACCGAGAAAAUCUAUGAUGUACCAGAUGAGGAAUUCUCACGGAUGAGCACGGUUGGUGACGAAUCUUCCAGAUAUGUUGAUGAGGAAGAAAUUGUACCCGAUAAACACGAGCCGAAACAGGCAUUGCCUGACGUUGCUAAUUUACCCAUGGAUAGAGACUUUAAACAACCAGCAGAUGAAUUGAACAUAUUGACAAAUGUGGAAUUGGACGAUGUCAAAUACCCAACGCCAAUGGAAGACUUUUUGAUGUCAGACAGCAAAGUAAGCAACAAGAAGAGAACUCGACCGGUAAUUUUGUCGGCUUCUUCUGACGUGUCCAUUAAAGAGGGACAAUGUUUGGUUUUAGAGUGGGAAAUCACAGGCAACCCCGAGCCAAAAGUCGAGCUUUAUAAGGACGGUAUCUUACCUCGGUUCUGUAAUGGUGAUGGUUUGUUUCACGACUCGGACUUUGUAACCUUGGAGGUUCUUCAUAGCUCGCCCAGUGACACGGGAUGUUACGAGCUACACUUGACGAACGAAUUGGGUACUGACGUCAGUUUAGUUAACGUUAUUGUUAAGGAGGACUCGCGUGAGAGUUCUGUCGUGUGGGAGCCUCCUGUUGAAAGAGCCAAUUCUCCUCCAACGUUCACAGUGAUCCCAAGUGACGUCAAAAUAAACGACGGACAAACCAUUGUGUUAAAAGCUAUUGUAGAUGGUUAUCCUAAACCUACCAUCCAGUGGCUAAAAGAUGACGAAGACCUUCAGGAAAGUGCUACUUGUGACGUCAUAGAGGAGACAACCUACAGCUGUCUCGUCAUUCCUAAUCCUACAAUAGAGCAUGCAGGAGACUAUAUCUGUAGAGCAGUGAAUUCGGAGGGCAUUUGUGAAACAUUCUUUAUUGUCAGCAUGGAAAAGAACGAUGAAGCAGAUGGCGCCAAACCAUUACUUCACGAACAGACGUCAUCAGUAAAGCAAACCUAUGAGCAGCUGUCAGAGGGAACCCUGAUUCUCUCCCCCAAAGUGAGACUGGAGGUCACGGAGUCGGAGGAUUUUUUCUCCAAGAAAUUUGAAGUGUGCUCAAAGACAAUAGAUGCGUUGAAUGACGUAAUAUUAGAAAAAGGUGACGUAGUUGAUGUCUUGGACCGAACGAAAGGGUCUCAUUGGUUGGUACGGAAAGACCACGCCAAAGAUGAGGUGUGUUAUGUAAGCCCAGAGAACUUGAAGCCAUAUACAGAAACAGAGAAGGACAACCGAAAAGGAACCAAUGUUCAUGUGGACAUUGAGAAAGUUGAGGACAAGAAAAGGAAACUUGUUCAGGAUCUGCUGGACAGUGAGACAGACUAUGUGUGUGACCUGAGAGACUUGAUAGAGAACUACUUUGAUGUGGCUGAUGAUGAGUUUCCUGACAAAAAAAAAGGAAGAGAAAUAUUCAGAAAUGUGGAAUCACUUUACCAAUUCCAUCAUCGCCAUUUGCUUCCUGAAUUGGUGGCUUCCAAGAAUGAACCAGAGAAAGUGGCAGAGGUAUUCCUUAAAAAGAGGGAGAGUUUCUCUGAGUAUCUGCCCUACAUGGCUGGUAAGAAUAAAGCAGGUGAAAGCUUGGAGUCUGAGGAGCUCAAGAAAUUUCUACAGGAUUACAGUAAAAGUAUCGGGGAUGACGGUGAUACCCUGCAGGAGUUAUUGGACAGACCAGUGGACCGCAUACAUGAGUACAUGGAGCUACUGAAGAAUCUGAUAAAGUUCACCAGGGCUGGGGGUGGAGACUGUACACAGCUGAUGGAGGCGGUCAGUAUGCUGAGUGACAUCUGUCGGGAGGUGGAGAGUAUCAUGUUACUGGACAACAUGCAGGGCUGGGACAACCCUGAGCCCUCAAACUCCGUCAUCUCACAUGAGACUGCCACAGUAUGGAACAGUGAAUCAGAGAUAGGAAAAGACUGCUAUGUUUUCCUGUUUCCAGAGAAGAUGGUAAUUGCCCACAGUGUAGAAGAGAAAGAAGGGACAAGACAAGAUGGCAUGCCUCAGCUUAAAUUUGAGAAAGAGAUAUUAGUAAGUUCUUGUAUUACCAGUCUUAAGCAUAUAGCAACAAAUGCCUUUAUGUUUAACUACAGUGUAAAUAUUUGCUGGUCUCUGCCAGAAUUCUUGGUGGAGGGAGCUGUAGAGGAGAAGCGCAGAUUCCAGAGUGUGGGUUCACAGUUGCGGACUGUCGCCCUAUGCGAAGAUGACAUUGGGGGGAGCUUGGCAUUGUGGGAUGUGACGUUAGACGAAGACAAGGAAUCUCCUGCGUCAUUUUUGACGUUGGAAACCAGUUCUCCAUUCGCCAAACAAACACUUGUGAGAGACAUACAGGAGGCUCAAGAAAAACUAGGAGUUAAAGUACAGAAACCAAAAAAGAUGCCGGAGCACAGAAAAAUAGCCACCAAGACUCCCAAGGUCAAGUCUUCAGCCGUCAAGAGGACUGAGAACACAGACAAUGUAUCCCUGGCCAGCUCUGAUGAUUUCAAGAUAAUAGACACCAGUCAUGAUAUACAGCCUGAGUUUGAGGAUGGAACAACUCGACCAAUCUUCAAACGAAAGCUCAAGAAAACCGUUGUAUCAGAGAACUCCAUGGCCAGACUGGAGUGUCUAGUCGUUGGUAUUCCACAACCCAAGGUGUUAUGGCUGAAGAACAACCGUCCCCUGAAGAACACAGAUCAAUGCCGUGUUCUGUCAGAGGGGAACGUCCAUGUACUGGAAUUCCCCCAAACCAAGAAAGACGACACAGGUCUCUACACAGCUAGAGCCAUGAAUGUCAACGGAUCUACCAUCAGCUCCGCUGAGCUACUUGUGGGAAAUGCCCAGCCUUCCAGUUUAAAGAAGUACAAGGAAGGCUUGGCAGAGGAGGAGUUUCAGACUCCGGCCUACUUCUUCCAGAUGAACAGUUGUCAGGUGGAGGAAGGAAGACUGGCUCGUUUCGACUGCCGCGUGGUAGCUCACCCAAAACCAGAAAUCACCUGGAUGAAGGAUGGUAAGGUGGUAGAAUCCGGGAAGCGCUACAAACUCCUGAACUUCAACAAUGAGAUCUAUUCCCUGCUUGUCCAGAAUGUGGAGAUGGGGGACACAGGGCGAUACACCUGCUGGGCUCACAACAAGUAUGGGGAGGCCAUGACAGAGGCCUACCUUAAUGUCAUUGCUCUUGAAGAACAGCUUGAAGAUACAGACAUUGCUCCCAAAUUUUUAACAAAGUUUUAUGAUCAGACAAUCACAGACGGAUUGCCUGCAACCUUCCAGUGUAUGAUAGCUGGGAAACCCAUGCCUGUUGUCAGGUGGUUGUUGAAUGAAAUGGAGAUCAAGGCAUCUGAAAAUGUGAAGAUUCAGCAACAAGAGAAUAUCUGUACCCUCAGCAUUAAAGAAACUAAAGCAAAGAAUGCUGGGAAGUACAGCUGUCACCUGAAGAAUUCCCUGGGGGAGGCAGUGUGCUCCGCUGGACUCACAUUACUAGAUCAGACCAUCAAGGGAGUCCCAAUGCUGCCCAAGUUCUUAAAGAGAAUAGAUGAUGCCACUUCCACAGCAGGAAACCAGAUGGUAUAUGAAGUGGUGGUUGUUGGAGAACCUAAACCAAAAGUCAACUGGCUCUACAACCACAAACCCAUCUCUGAAACACAUAGACGCUUCCAGAUGACCCAGGAGGCUGAUACCUUUAGGCUGACCUUGAAUGACCUUCGCAUAGAGGAUGAGGGCAAAAUUACGUGUAAGGCUGUGAACUCUGAGGGUGAGGUCUAUUGCUCCAGUAACCUGAUCGUGAAGCGGGCUCCACUGGAAUUCAAGGAGGAUAAACCAAGCUUCAGACAGAAAGACUUUGAUGCCAAGUAUGGCUGUCCCCCUACUUUCAUGAAGAGAAUGGAGGAUACAUACUCCCCAGAAGGAAAGAAUGCCAAGUUUGAGUGUAAAAUCAUGGGAAUUCCUGAACCAAAUGUCACAUGGUACAAGGAUAACAAGGCCCUGACCCCCGGCUCUCGCUACUGGAUUAACCGUGAUGGUGGUCACUGCACUCUGACAAUUCGUGACGUUAUGGACAGUGACACGGGCCAGUACACCUGUAAAAUCAGUAACCCUGCCGGCGAAACCAGCUGUACAGCAGCCCUGGAACUACCAAGUUCAAAAUCAAAGAAGGACUCUUCUGUUGAUAGUGACUAUUCACCAUUUGCAAGAAGAUUUUCUCGGGAUUCUACAAAGUCAGAUCAUGAAGCUAUGCCGUCUCUGCCUUAUGACAAGCCGUCACUCACAGACAUCAGGGAGGAGUCUGUCAGGUUGUCAUGGUUACCGGCCUACACCUCAACCCUGCCACCUGAAGGCAGAAACGUUAAGUAUGUCAUCGAGGCUCGAGAACUGCCAGGAUUCGACUGGCACAAGGUGGCUACUGGUAUUCAUGGAAACACUCACAUGGUGAAGAAUCUGAAGCCCAGAGCUGAGUACGCCUUCAGAGUGUACGCUGAGAACCAGUUUGGUGUUAGUGACUCCACCCAACCAGCCAUGCUGGCAAGACCCAAACCAGUGGAAGAUGAAAUUGCUGAGAAAUUCCAUGUGAAACCACAUGAAUCUAGAGUGCCUCCCAAAUUACCCCAGUCAAAGCCCUUUGUGACAGAGAUGGGACAGGAAACAGUGCGGCUUGCCUGGAAACCUGCCAAUGCUCCAGUGGCAGCCAAGAAGGUGGCUCCCAUAACAUACCGCCUCGAGGCCCAGGAGCUGCCUGCUAAGGACUGGAUCCCCCUGGCCCACCGCAUCAGGGACACCAGCUACUACAUCCCAGAGCUUAAGUCUGACCGAGACUACAACUUCAGGGUGAGGGCCGAGAACAAGUAUGGCCAAAGCGAACCAACCGAGUCUCUGUGGGUCCCCAGAGCUACACAUUUCCCUGGAGUACCAAUCAGCAGACCAACCAUUGUUGACAUGGAACCAGAGACAGUGCGUGUGUCCUGGCAGAAGGUGAAUGUCCCAUCAUUCUCCACCACAGACAAUCCUCUGCUGUACAUGUUAGAGAUGCAGGAACCACCCAAGCGUGACUGGAGACCCGUGGCUAGAGACGUCCCUGACCUCAGCUACACAGUCAGAGGAUUGACCCCAGGGCAAGACUACAGAUUCAGGGUCAAGGCCAGAACUAUGGGAGGAGGUUAUGGAGAGCCUUCUCCUUCUACAUCGCUCUACAGAACUCUGGCUACCACCAGAAUCCCAAUAGACAGGCUGGAAUUGGAGGACACAGAACCCGACUUUGAAGGAGUCCGCCUUGCCUGGAACAAAGUGGAGAUACCACCUUACCACUCGGAUGAAGAACCACUGCUGUACAUGGUGGAGAUGAGUGAGCCACCACUAGAUGAGUGGCGACCGGUGGUGACAGGUUUACCCACCACUCGGUACCGAGUCACUGACUUGCUGCCAGACAGAGACUAUCGCUUCAGAGUAAGGGCAGUAACUCCAUACGGAAUGACACCUCCCUCAUAUGCUCUGCCUGUCUCUUACAGAAGACCAUUGCCUGCUGCAAGCAGACCAUUAGCAAACAUGCCCCAGCUCCUGUAUGAUGACUCGGACGCCCUGAGGCUGACAUGGAAACCCCCAGUGACAGACACCAAGCGCCCCCUGAGGUACCAGGUUCAAAUGCAGGCUCCCCAGAGCAUGGACUGGCGACCACUGGCCACGGGAAUCACUGACAAUAGCUACAGGAUCCGAGGCCUGGGACCCAGCAGAGACUACAUGUUUAGGGUCAUUCCAGAAACCAGCCUGGGCCCUCUACAGCCCCUGCCUCCAGUGUCUCUCACUGCUCUACCAGCUCCUAGAACUAUUCUUCCCAGAAUGCCAGAUAUUGUUGAUCUGCAGGCUGAGUCUCUGAGGUUGUCAUGGCAGCGACCUUACAUUGACCCUACUGUGCCACUGACUUAUAGGAUUGACAUGCAAGAGCCACCUUCACGUGAAUGGAGACCUAUUGCUUACUGGCGUACCAGACAACCAGUACCAUGUGACAGGCUUACGCCCAAACAGGGACUAUUUGUUCAGAGUUACUCCAAGUACUCCAACCUACAACUUGGAACCUCUGCCUUAUGUGACUCUGACUUCAAUGCCAGUACGACCAAGACUGUACUCACAAGAGCCAAAAGCAGUAGAGGUGGGUAAGGACUCCAUUCAGCUGUCCUGGAGACCGGCUGAGCUCCCACAGUUUGCUAGACACAAACUUCCAAUUCGCUACAUGGUGGAGAUGAAGACUCUUCCAAGCUCUCACUGGGAGCCAUUGGCAAGGAAUGUACAUGACACCUCGUACUUGGUGAAGGGUUUGCGAUCAGACAAGGAAUACCAGUUCCGCAUCAAAGCUCUGACAGAUUUCGGAAAUAGUGAGCCAUCACUUCCUGUAACUGUAUACAGAAAAUCAGUGCCUUUCUUCCCACGGUAUGAGCCAAUCCUGACCAACCUUAACCCAGACUCAGUGGUGCUAUCCUGGCAGCCCGCCACCCUGCCCAGUCACACCACUCACAUGCCAUCGGUCACCUACCGCAUAGAGAUCCAGGACCCACCAGAGAGAGGUCACUGGAGGACCUAUGCAUCCAACGUCCCCAAGACGAGUUACCAUGUGACCAAUCUAAGACCAGACAGGGACUACUUGUUUAGGAUUCGGGCCGAGGCAGACAACAUUAUGACAGAGCCAUCUAUGCCUGUCUAUCUGCAAAGAAGGGCUUGUCCCCCAAGGAUGCCCCACGAGGAGCCCUAGUGUGUUUGAACUGAGACCAGACUCCCUGAAAUUGCAAUGGCGUUCAGUAGAGCUGCCGUCAAGGAUCACUGACUAUUCUCCUGUCACCUACCGCCUGGAGAUCCAGGAACUGCCUCGCUCCGAUUGGAUGACACUGGCCAAGGGAAUACCCCACACCGACUUUAAUGUCACCAAUCUGAACCCAGACAAAGACUACUGUUUCAGGGUCAGAGCAGAGAAUGACAUGGGCAUCAGUGAUCCAACACCAGUUGUUGUGGUCAAGAAACGAGCUGUUGCUCCUACAUUGCCUCAAGAGGAGCCCUUAAUUUAUGACAUUGGACCCUCUGGUUCUUUCUGGUUGUCAUGGCGACCUGCUGACUUCCCAUUGUACAUGUCAGAAAGCAGUCCUGUUACAUACACUAUCUACGUCCAGGAACCACCUAGCACCACCUGGAGACCGCUGGUCCGCAGGAUACCACAUCCAUUCUACCAGGUCACCAAUCUCAGAAACGAUAAGGACUACAGUUUCCGCAUCCAAGCAGAAAAUGAGUUUGGUCUCAGCAGGCCCACCCUCCCUGUCAAAAUGCUGGGAGUCAAAAGUUGGAAGGCACCAGUUGACAUCCCAGAGAUCACAGACAUUGAUGACACCAGUCGCUCUCUCCGCUUAAAAUGGCGAACAAAAUCGAUGUCUCCAUUCAACAAAGGCCCUGUCACGUACCAGAUCGAGCGCUGGGAGCCUAGCCAGAGGCACUGGACUCGAGUGGCCAGUGGAGUCAGAGACACAAACUAUCAGCUCACUGGACUGCCAUUUGACCAGGAUCAUUUGUUCAGGAUUCGUGCAGAGGCAGAGAAAGUACUUAGUGAACCGACCUUAUCCCAUAUCAUUCAACAGGUUCAGAUUACCAUCUCGAUUCCCAGUGGCUCGUCCACAGUUGUAUGAUGUGGAACCUGAUGCAGUGAGGUUAUCUUGGUUACCACUGCCAAGAGGAAAUGUGGAGGAUCCACUUAUUUUGCCAUCGCAGAUACCGUCUGGAGUUGCGUGAACUUCCGGCACAUGACUGGCGACCAGUGGCACAUGACAUACCAGACACUAAUUACCGCAUCACGGGACUCAAACCCCGACAGGACUACGAGUUCCGAGUCCGAGGGGUAUAUGAUGAGGGCCCAGGAGACUACACUAAGGCCAUCUCUCUGUACAGGAGGCCAGUAUUGCCCAAAACACCAAUAAGCUCACCAAGACUUGUGGAUGUGAAAGAUGACUAUGUUGAGUUAAAAUGGAAAAUGGUAGAUGUGCCAGCCUAUGGUUAUGAUGAAGAACCACUGGCCUUCCUGAUCGAGGCCCAGACUCCACCACGUUAUGACUGGCAACCAGUGGCCAGAAAUGUCAGAGGCACCUCGUACCGCAUCUCCAACCUGCAACGCCACCAAGAUUAUUUGUUCCGUGUGCGUGCUGAGUAUCCAUCGGGAUUAUCCUCGCCGUCGCCCUACAUCCCAGUGUACCGUAAACCAAGUGAGUUGUACCUCGUCACAGGUAGUCAUGGUAGCGCUUAUACCGACUUGUCUAGUAAGCUAGUAUCACCUAUAGUUAGCACUAACCAAAAGCCUACAGCCACUCGGUCCAAGAAGGACCUCUUCUUGGCUGAGCUUAAUAAGAUUGACAAGAGACGCAAGGAAUUUGAAGAGAAGGUACAGACUUAUAAAAAGAAUACCAUCAAGGCUUGGACAGACACUAAAUCUUUGAAGGAGAAAUUCUUGGCAGAAAUCUCUGUGCAGAAUAAGCCACCACCUCUAAGCCCUAGAUCAAGGAGAGACAAAUUCCUUGUGGAGAAAACAAUGCCACCGAAACCAAAGAUUCAAGGACUGGAGAAAAAGGCUGACUUUGGAAAAGCUUUGGAGAAGUUCAGAUCCAUGGAAACACUCCAUCGUAUCAUGAAACCUGAAUCGAUUACUCACCAGAGAGAUUUCUCUUCUUCUGUGGGAAGACCAACUUCACCCAGAAAACUCUCUCUUGACUCCCGCAUGCCUGUUCCUACCCCAAUUCGUACUCCUAUCUUGUCCUCUGUCCUUGACACCAAAUCAAAGGUCACAUCCACAUCAAGGAAACCAUUUGUUUCUACAGACGAUACUUUCUUGUCAAGCAGACGCAACAUUUCACACUACACUGCAUCAGAUCUGUCUUAUAAGAAGCGUCAUCUGGUGCCAGACAGGUUAAAGUAUAGACAUGUGCCCACUGAUUCUUACACCACUGCUCUGUCUGACCAAUACAAGGUGUCCAGUGUUAGGACCUCAAGGUACAAAGCCCCUGAGAGGAGGUACUAUUUCCCUCGCCCCCACUCAUGGGGAUGCAGGAGAAUCAUUAAGAUCUUCUAGAACUAGCAGAGUGGCCACCAGACCGACAUAUGAUCUGUACUCUAGUCAUGCUAGACAGUCCUCACUGUACUUCAGCUCCUUACUCAAGAGACUAUCGCAAUAACUCUCUGUCUUUAAUUGGUAAAUCAGUCUACCAUGAUCUGUAUUCACACUCUAUCACCUCUAAAACAAGUUCAAGUCUGACACGAAGAAGUUCAAGUCUGACACAAACAAAUUCAACAAGUCUGACACGAACCUCUAACUACACCCCAUCAUACAGAGAGUCUUCUUUGUUGGACACAUCCAGACGAGCUUGCUCUGUGUCCAGAGAUUACACCUCCCCUGCUAGGUAUGAAGGAGUAGGCAGUAGAUCAAGACAGUACAACACUGAUUACUCCCGGGAGAGGACUUCCUACUCAGUGGGGCCCAACAUAGGAAGUAGUAGGAAGUACUCAAUGAGUACUGACUACAUAUCUUCCAGGAGUGAGUAUGACAGAAAGAGUGAGUGUAGGAGCUGGACACCUGACCGGUUCUCAACUUCUGCCCUUUCUCGUUUUACAUACACUAGUCCUUCCCCCUCAAGGACUGUUACAAGAAGUCCUUCAAGGGCCACUACAAGAAGCCCCUCUAGGGCCAAAACACAUUUUGACACUCUGUCAAUCAGGUCUGGGUCAGUCUCCAUUGCAGAGAGUGGGUACAAGUCAAGAACCCCCUCAAUCUCUCACAGUUAUCUCCCAUCAAGGAGCUCUUCUGUGACUCAGUCUAUGAUAAAAUCAAGGAGUGGCUCUACAUCUGAUUCCCCCUCCCGUUUUAAACCAAGAAGUGCCUCAGCUAUCCUCACUGGCCUCCCUCCAAUAAAACCUUGCACAUCCACCCACAAAAAGAAGGAUGUUUCUGUAUCCUACACAACCUAUCUCCCUCCUACCAAGCAAUCCUUAAAACAGAGAGCUUCCUCCAGAGACAGUCUUUUGUCUGAAUCGUCAGCCUCCUCCUCCACCAAAGCUCCCCCCACCCACUCUGAGAAUGAAGGUCAGUCUACCCGACAGAAGAAAUUCAGUGAGGGGAGGACAAAGGGUGAGUCUACCAAAAAGGAGAAACCUAAAGUUAUCAAGGAGGAGAUAGUUAAAGGAGUUCCAGAAAAACAGGUUGUUGAGGAAUCCUUGAGGUCAGAGGACACAGGAGAGGAAGAAAAAUUGUCCUGGCUUAGGACACCUGCUAGUCAGACCAUCAAACACUUGGCAUAGGCUACUGCCAGCUGUGUCAAAUGAAUGGACAUGUGGAAUUUCUUUACUAAACAUGACAUAAAACUUCACAAAUAUGACAGACUGCAUCUUAUGUGCGCUUCCAGGUUAGAAAGCAGUGUAUAUUUACUAUUGCCUGUAGAGAAAUUAUACUGUACAUCUUAGAUAGUGCCAAAUUAUGUAUGUAUAUCAUUAUAUGCACUGUAUAUCUUGUUCUGCUUAGGUAUCUUGAUGUGAUUGGUAGAAACAAUGUGUUAUAUAUAUCCCAAUAUCUCUGCACUUGCACAUGUAAGAAGCUUAUAUGCACAACAUGUAUUCUGAAGCAUGUCACCUUUAGUUAUAUAUAUAUGUAUAUAUAUUUGUGAAAGCCACCUGCCAAAUCUGCAAAAAUAUAUACCACAACAUUACAUUGGUAUGUUAAUCAUCUUCAGGUAAGAUCCAUGUAUAAAGAUGAAUUUCUCUUAUAAUAUGCCUGAAUGGAUUGUCUUAGGUCAGCCACCAAGCAUGUAAAGUUCUUAAAACUUUCUGAAUUCAGUGGGAAAGAAAAUAUUUAUACUGUUAAUUGUACCAAUGGUUUGUUUUUCAAAUGACAUGUUUGGGUAUGUUGAAGGAAAUGUUUAGAUGGAAUUGUGUAGAAAAGAGUGUUUUGCUGUGAAAUAAUUUAGGUCCCUGGAAUUCAUCUGUUUUUUAAAACACUCAUUUAUUGAUGUUGCUUUGAAGUUUAUAAAAUUUUAAAUAUCAUUUUUAUCCCUUUUUUUUACAUUUGUAAAGAUGGAUUGAUGUUAUAACAAUGGGCUAAGGUGCAAUAAUAAGCCAGAGGUGCAAUAAUAUAUGUCAGAGGUGCAAUAAUAUAUGAAAGAGGAUACUAUUUGCUUUAGCACAGUGAUGCUAUUCCGAUGGAAAUCUGUGUGAAUUGUUGGAAUAUAAAUUAAGAUUUUAUGUACUGGUAAACCAAAUGUUAUAAUGUUAAAAAUUGUUGACAUCUAGAGUGUUUAAAUACAGUUACUGCUUUCUGUUGACUUCAUAACCCGUCCCCAUGCUAAUUAUAUUAAUACUGUUUCAUGUUUAAUUUGUCCAUUUUGAUGUUUUGUGAUUGUUGGUGUUUAAUAAAAAAUAUAAAAAUGUC